CAGUAGCCACGGUAAUACGGAGGGCGCGAGCGUUACCCGGAUUUACUGGGCGUAAAGCGUGCGUAGGCGGUGAGUUAAGUCUGCUGUGAAAUCCCCGGGCUCAACCUGGGAAUGGCAGUGGAUACUGGCUCGCUAGAGUGUGUCAGAGGAUGGUGGAAUUCCCGGUGUAGCGGUGAAAUGCGUAGAGAUCGGGAGGAACAUCAGUGGCGAAGGCGGCCAUCUGGGACAACACUGACGCUGAGGCACGAAAGCGUGGGGAGCAAACAGGAUUAGAUACCCCCGUAGUCCCUGUCUCUUAUAC
rnacentral:rRNA from 1 species